rnacentral:lncRNA from 1 species
CGGGUACGGAGCGUGCCGAGGAAAGAUAGGUAUUUUUCCUAAGAUUAAUCACAUCUAUUUAGUUAAAAAAGAGAUACAACUCUGCUAGUGCAAAUUAAUUCAAAACUCCCGAGCUCUUUUUAUUUUUUUAUUACCUCAAUUUUAUGAUAAUUUAUUUUCUAAAUCAAAAACAACGCUUCUUUCUUUUACCUUGCAAUUUCAAUUUAGCCCAAGAUCCCUGAGGAUACGAUCUCGACUCA